UGGGGAAUUGUUCGCAAUGGGCGCAAGCCUGACGACGCAACGCCGCGUGGAGGAUGAAGGUCUUCGGAUUGUAAACUCCUGUUGCCCGGGACGAAAAGCCUUGACCUAACACGUCAAGGUCUGACGGUACCGGGUGAGGAAGCCCCGGCUAACUCUGUGCCAGCAGCCGCGGUAAUACAGAGGGGGCAAGCGUUGUUCGGAAUUACUGGGCGUAAAGGGCGCGUAGGCGGCCUGCUAAGUCGAACGUGAAAUCCCCGGGCUCAACCCGGGAACUGCGUCCGAUACUGGUUGGCUUGAAUUCGGGAGAGGGAUGCGGAAUUCCAGGUGUAGCGGUGAAAUGCGUAGAUAUCUGGAGGAAUACCGGUGGCGAAGGCGGCAUCCUGGACCGGCAUUGACGCUGAUGAGCGAAAGCCAGGGGAGCAAA
rnacentral:rRNA from 1 species